AUUUCAAUGACUGGAAGGAAUCCCUUCUGGCCAUCAAGGUUGUAUGGUCCCAAUGACCAGAAGGAAUUCCUUCUGGUCAUCGAGACCAUUGAUGACCGGAAGGGAUUCCUUCCAGUCAUCGAGACCAUUGAUGACCAGAAGGGAUUCCUUCUGGUCAUCGAGACCAU
rnacentral:miRNA from 1 species